GUCGAAGGCAGCCAAGAAUCCUCUAGCGCAGCCCGUCCCCAUGGGCCAGAAAGGCUGCAAGCAACAAAGACAAAAAAACAAAAUAACUUACCAGUAAAAUUGGAGGGAAGUACCUUUAAAUCACAGGCUGUCGCCCACUAGCGUAACCAGCAGUUGAUGUCCAAACCUCUCCCUGACCAGAGCGGCGUUUUCCGAGGCGUGCAUGCUAGUGAAGUCGAACAUGGCUACGUCGGGCUGGCCGCAGUGGUUCAUGGCAAAGUCCAGCGUGGGAAGCUGGUAGUUGGUGCCAAAAUCAGCAGCCUCUCUGGCAUAGCACAGGAGAGCUUCCUGGUUGACGUUAUCGCUACUCAGCAGCCUCUGUGUCUCCACGUAAUCCUGUCAACCAACAAAGACAAUACCAGCCUCACCUUAGUUUAUUGCUUAUCCAAGUGUUUCUAUCUUUUACUGAGCCAAGUGACAUAUUGUACGUAAGAAACUCACAUUAAUGACAACUCCUUUAUCCAGCAGGCUCUGUUUCUUCGCAGUCAUGACAAAGUAGUGCGUGUUGUCCUUGUAGUACACAAUGUUUUCCAGGUCGAUGCCUGCGACAAAGACAGGUCUCCCAGAUCUCUUCUCUCCCACCUGUUUCUUCUUUGAGGUCAAGAAAGAACUUUUGAUUGAAGAUGAAGGCCACGCCACUAAUUUCCUCCACCUUGGCCUCCGCUGUCGUGUUCCUGUUGAUGAAGUUGGCGGUGAUGGCGAUUGCCAACUUGCCGCGAAAUUCUUUUCUUUUGAAACCUGCAAUUAAAAAAGCAAAGAGAAUGGUAUUGAAAAGAAAGGGAAACCAAACAAGAACUGUGGCGAGUCUUACAGGCAGUUGUUUCAGGGUCACAGGUGGUUCACUCAGCAAUGUGUAAUAUAUCGACGCAAACUAUUAACCAGCUAAGAAAAGUGAACACAUUCAAGGAAAAUAAAUGAAAAAUACCACAACUACUGUUAUCAAUUAAAAGAUUUUAAAAACUACAUUACACUUUGAAAGUCACAUUCUUUACAUUCACUUUAACAUUUGAGUGUGAAUUUCUGAGUCCAUUAAACUAAAGUAUGCUCCUUGGUGGGGGAAAUAAAAACAGGAUAUUCAUUAACUUGGAAAAAUGUUGACACCCAGUGAGUCACAUUUCAAAGGUUUUUGCACAUUCCACCGUUUUAGUCAGCACAUGAGAGGGAUACUUUGUCACCAAAAGUAAAAAUUGAACCAAAAACUUACAGCGUUUGAAAAUUGAGGCCAGGUUUCAUUGAAAACCAAAUAAUCUGCAAAAAUAGUUCUGGAUGUAUUUAAGGCUGCUUAGCUACAUUUAGCUCACCAAAAAACAUAGACCUGCCUCAGACUGACUCAUUUCCCCUGAGCUGCUUCAUAACGAAAGAAUGAGUCCAAAGGCUUGUUUUUGACCUUUUUAGGAAUAAGCUUCAGAUGUGUAUCGCUUGUUGCAAGCAACGACUUUGAGAGAGUCCAAAAAGAAUGAUGCAAAGUUAUGGAGAGACUCCAGCAGGCAUCAGCUGCUCCACUCAAGCCUGCCUCGAUUCUAUUUAUGUAUUGGGAUCCUUUGUGUUUUGACCUUUGUGACCACUGCAACCUCACACAGGCACACUUGGACUCUUUUACAUUUCUGAUGGGUAAACGGCUUAGUUGGUAGAAAAUUUAAAGAAUGCACACAAUGUAUUUUUUGGAAUGCUAUUUUAAUGUUUGAUAUUUUAAAAGGAAAAUGUAAAAUGUCAUUAAUUCUUUCUGGUCUCUGUUAAUAAAAUCGUUUGUGAUGUGCUA